rnacentral:rRNA from 1 species
UGAGGAAUAUUGGGCAAUGCCCGCAAGGGUGACCCAGCAACGCCGCGUGGAGGAUGAAUGUCGUAAGAUUGUAAACUCCUGUUAGAGGGGAAGAAUAGUACCGGUUGGACCGGUAUAUGACUGUACCCUCAGAGAAAGCCCCGGCUAACUACGUGCCAGCAGCCGCGGUAAUACGUAGGGGGCAAGCGUUGUCCGGAUUUACUGGGUGUAAAGGGCGCGCAGGCGGGAUAAAAAGUCAGUGGUGAAAUCCUACAGCUUAACUGUAGAACUGCCUUUGAUACUUUUAUUCUUGAGUUCGGGAGAGAGAGACGGAAUUCCAGGUGUAGUGGUGAAAUACGUAGAUAUCUGGAAGAACACCAGUGGCGAAGGCGGUCUCUUGGUCCGACACUGACGCUGAGGCGCGAAAGCGUGGGAGCAAACA